rnacentral:rRNA from 1 species
UAGUCCACGCCGUAAACGAUGAAUGCUAGGUGUCGGGAGUCGAAUCUCGGUGCCGCAGUUAACGCAAUAAGCAUUCCACCUGGGGAGUACGAUCGCAAGAUUGAAACUCAAAGGAAUUGACGGGGGCCCGCACAAGCGGUGGAGCAUGUGGUUUAAUUCGAAGCAACGCGAAGAACCUUACCAAUUCUUGACAUCCUUCUGACCGGUCCUUAAUCGGACCUUUCCUUCGGGACAGAAGUGACAGGUGGUGCAUGGUUGUCGUCAGCUCGUGUCGUGAGAUGUUGGGUUAAGUCCCGCAACGAGCGCAACCCUUAUCUUUAGUAACCAGCACGUUAUGGUGGGGACUCUAGAGAGACUGCCGGGGACAACUCGGAGGAAGGUGGGGAUGACGUCAAAUCAUCAUGCCCCUUAUGAAUUGGGCUACACACGUGCUACAAUGGUGGAUACAAAGAGAAGCGAAGCCGCGAGGUGAAGCAAACCUCAUAAAGUCCAUCCCAGUUCGGAUUGU